AUUGAACGCUGGCGGCAUGCUUUACACAUGCAAGUCGAACGGCGGCGCGGGCUUCGGCCUGGCGGCGAGUGGCGAACGGGUGAGUAAUGCAUCGGAACGUGCCCAGUAGUGGGGGAUAGCCCGGCGAAAGCCGGAUUAAUACCGCAUACGACCUGAGGGUGAAAGCGGGGGACCGAAAGGCCUCGCGCUAUUGGAGCGGCCGAUGUCGGAUUAGCUAGUUGGUGGGGUAAAGGCUUACCAAGGCGACGAUCCGUAGCUGGUCUGAGAGGACGACCAGCCACACUGGGACUGAGACACGGCCCAGACUCCUACGGGAGGCAGCAGUGGGGAAUUUUGGACAAUGGGGCAACCCUGAUCCAGCCAUGCCGCGUGCGGGAAGAAGGCCUUCGGGUUGUAAACCGCUUUUGUUCGGGAAGAAAUCCUCUGGGCUAAUACCCCGGGGGGAUGACGGUACCGGAAGAAUAAGCACCGGCUAACUACGUG
rnacentral:rRNA from 1 species